UACGUAGGGUGCAAGCAGUUAAUCGGAAUUACUGGGCGUAAAGCGUGCGCAGGCGGUUGUGCAAGACCGAUGUGAAAUCCCCGGGCUUAACCUGGGAAUGGCAUUGGUGACUGCACGGCUAGAGUGUGUCAGAGGGGGGUAGAAUUCCACGUGUAGCAGUGAAAUGCGUAGAUAUCAGGAGGAAUACCGAUGGCGAAGGCAGGUCUCUGGGCUGACACUGACGCUCAUGCACGAAGCGUGGGGAGCAAACAGGAU
rnacentral:rRNA from 1 species